GACUCGCACACGUGGCCACUCUCU
rnacentral:siRNA from 1 species